rnacentral:rRNA from 1 species
GAUGAACGCUAGCGAUAGGCUUAACACAUGCAAGUCGAGCGGCAGCAUGGUCUUAGCUUGCUAAGACUGAUGGCGACCGGCGCACGGGUGCGUAACGCGUAUGCAACUUGCCUCACAGAGGGGGAUAACACGCCGAAAGUCGGACCAAUACCGCGUACACUUGGCAUAGGGCAUCCUGAAACAAGGAAACGAAAUUCGCUGUGCGAUAGGCAUGCGUGCCAUUAGCUAGUUGGUGAGGUAACUGCUCACCAAGGCGACGAUGGGUAGGGGAACUGAGGGGGGGAGGCCUCAGACGGGGACUGGGACACGGAGCAGAGACAUACGGGAGGCAGUAGUGAGGGAUAUUGGACAAUGGGAGAGAGCCUGAUGCAGCCAAGUCGCGUGAAGGAUGACUGUGUUAGGGAUUGUGAACUUCUUUUUGUCGGGAAUAUCAAGAGGUACGUGAGGCUGCCUGCAGGUACCGUAUAAAGAAGCAUCGGCUAACUCCGUG